AACAUUUCAAAGUACUUUACUAAAUAGCAAUAGACAAUUCUUAUGUGCUUUUGAUGAUUAGGUUAUUCCAAAAUAUUUUCACUCAUUUGUUUAGAAUUUAGUAUUUAUGUAUUUUCUGCCACAUAGCCAUUGAACUUAAAAACUAAGGUAAAAAUUACCAGAAUGCUCUCAACAAAUUCACUUAUAAUUGUUUGCCCUUCUUCAAGAGAGAACAAAAAAUCUUUAGUGAAGACAGCACUUAAAAUUUUGUACAUAAGUUUUAAAAAAACAUUCCAUUUAUCUCAGGAGAAAAGAUCUAACACGGGGAUAUGGUUUGAGAAUCGUGUAACUUUCAUAUGCCUGGGGGACAUGUUCUGCUUCUUCUUCUGUCCAGUUUUCAAAGCCUCACUUUCUUGUCCCAGAAGCCCUACAUUUGAUGAAGUUUGAGUGGGACCCACUCAACUCCCAUUCCAAAGCUUUGUGCACAGGUGUGCGCCUGGGAAGAAUCACCAUCCUCAACUACAAAAAUGGUCCCAGAUGUUCACCAGGCCUAACCAGGCCAACUGGAAUUAUCUCUCCCAGAGCCAUCUGCAUUGGGAUUG
rnacentral:lncRNA from 1 species